CCUACGGGUGGCAGCAGUGAGGAAUAUUGGUCAAUGGACGCAAGUCUGAACCAGCCAUGCCGCGUGCAGGAAGACGGCUCUAUGAGUUGUAAACUGCUUUUGUACGAGGGUAAAUCCCGAUACGUGUAUCGGGUUGAAAGUAUCGUGCGAAUAAGGAUCGGCUAACUCCGUGCGAGCAGACGCGGUAAAACGGAGGAUUCAAGCGUUUACAGGAUUAAUUGGGGUUAACGGGUGCGUAGGCGGUUAGAUAAGUUAGAGGUGAAAUCCCGUGGCUAAAUUCCGGCACUGCCUGGGAUACUGUCGGGUUAGAGUUUAGUUGCGGUAGGCGGAAUGUAUGGUGUAGCGGUUAAAUGCAUAGAGAUCAUACAGAACACCGAUUGCGAAGGCAGCUUACCAAACUACGACUGACGUUGAGGCACGAAAGCGUGGUGAGCAAACAGGAUUAGAUACCCCUGUAGUC
rnacentral:rRNA from 1 species